AUCCCAUGAUGUGAGCAUUGGUAUAAAAGAUUUAAGAAUUUAUCCCAUGCUUGGCAUAACAUUUCCCCUUCCUUCAAUUUGAAAUGCAGGAUUUGAUUCCUGAGUU